UACGUAGGGAGCAAGCGUUGUCCGGAAUCAUCGGGCGUAAAGCGCGCGUAGGUGGCCUCAUAAGUCCGCUGUGAAAGUCAAAGGCUCAACCUUUGAAAGCCGGUGGAUACUGUGGGGCUAGAGUACGGAAGAGGCGAGUGGAAUUCCUGGUGUAGCGGUGGAAUGCGCAGAUAUCAGGAGGAACACCAAUAGCGAAGGCAGCUCGCUGGGACGUUACUGACACUGAGGCGCGAAAGCGUGGGGAGCGAACAGG
rnacentral:rRNA from 1 species